rnacentral:rRNA from 1 species
CGGUUGUCUGGGCUGGAAAAAAACCUAGAAGUACCGUACAAAUACCAACACAGGUUGACUGGCUGAGUAAGCUACGACGAAAAAGGUAACAACACUAAAGGAACUCUGCAAAAUUGCCUUGUAACUUAGGGGAGAAAAGGCGUCCUGUUGACUAAGAAAAGAGGGGGUAGCGACUGUUUAUUAAAAACAUAAGACUUUGCGAAGUAGAAAUAUGAAGUAUAAAGUCUGACACCUGCCCAGUGCUGAUCGGUGAAGUAGUUAUAUUUUACGUAUAACUUAUAAGCCACGGUAAACGGCGGCCGUAACCCUGACGGUCCUAAGGUAGCAAAAUCCCUUGACGGGUAAGUUCCGUCCUGCACGAAUGGUGUAACGACUGCCCCACUGUCUCUAGUGUUGACUUUUAUGAAAUUGAAGUUAUUGUGAAGAUGCGAUAAAAUACAGCUAGACGGAGAGACCCUAUGCACCUUUACUGUUAGCUGCUUAUGACAAAAAUAAGAGGAAUAUAGAUACGUAGGAGCUG